UACGUAGGUGGCAAGCGUUGUCCGGAUUUACUGGGCGUAAAGAGCGCGCAGGCGGUCGGAUCAGUCGAAUGUGAAAGCCCCCGGCGCAACUGGGGAGGGUCAUUCGAUACUGUCCGACUCGAAGGCAGGAGAGGGAAGCGGAAUUCCCGGUGUAGUGGUGAAAUGCGUAGAUAUCGGGAGGAACACCAGUGGCGAAGGCGGCUUUCUGGCCUGUUCUUGACGCUGAGGCGCGAAAGCUAGGGGAGCGAACGGG
rnacentral:rRNA from 1 species